rnacentral:rRNA from 1 species
UACGUAGGUGGCAAGCGUUGUCCGGAAUUAUUGGGCGUAAAGCGCGCGCAGGCGGUCCUUUAAGUCUGAUGUGAAAGCCCACGGCUCAACCGUGGAGGGUCAUUGGAAACUGGGGGACUUGAGUGCAGAAGAGGAAAGCGGAAUUCCACGUGUAGCGGUGAAAUGCGUAGAGAUGUGGAGGAACACCAGUGGCGAAGGCGGCUUUCUGGUCUGUAACUGACGCUGAGGCGCGAAAGAGUGGGAGGCAAACAGG